CAGCAUGCAGUACAGGACGUGAUCCACCGGGUGGCGCUGUUACUCCGCUUCGGCGCGCCGCUCCCGACCUGCCACUCCUUUUCUCUCAGGCGCAGCAUCCAUCUCACACACGGGUUUCACAUGAACAGCGAUGUCCUUUCAAUUCUUCUGCGCAUUCCUGGGCCGGUUGUGCGACAUCCUUCAUAGCAGGGUCGGACUUUGCAAACUCCUCUUAAAAAGUUUUCAGAAUCCUUAGAAAAAAAACGACCCCAUUCCCCUCGUCGAGCCCAACCAACACAACUGUACAGCGGCCUGUGAGUCUUUUACUCAUUUUUGUCCUCUUUCCCAAUGCAUUCAGCCCUUCUGAAUGUCCUGUCGCCCCUUCUUACCUUCUCCCCUCCACCUCCCCCUCUUUUCAUUACUGUCCCAUUCAUUCAUUUAUUCUUGUUCUUUUCCACUGCUUCGGCCACGCCAGCGAAUGCAUUCAUCUCCCUGCCUGCCUGGUCUAUCAGAGGACGACACACUCCUUUAUCUCAUCGAGCAUCUGGUAAUGGAAGGUCACAUUCGGAGGACGCACUCAUCAGUGGGCCGCUAGUUUUCUGCUGCUCUUCUGGUUUCCGAUGAAAAGGGCGAUGAAAGGGCGGAGGAACGGAGUGUCGCGCUUCCUCGACUGCCAGCAGAGGAAACGCUGCUUGAGCAGGGGUGUGGGAACGCCAAAGCCAGCAGCCAGGGGCUCAGCGGGGCGCCGAAGGCCUCCUUGGCAGGAUGCAAGCAAAGGGGAUUGUGGGAAAUUACACGGGAUUACAGCGGGCGUCUAAUGCCCUGAUCCAGCGGGACAUUUUCAUCAAGAAACAGCGCUGUCGGACAGCCGCAAAG
ensembl:lncRNA